AAAAAAAGGUCUAGGAAUAAAAUGAAAGCCUGAACUAACACAGUGGCAGUGAGGGAUGGAUUUGAGAGACAUUCAGAACAUGGAAUGCAUAGGAUUUAAGUAACGAUUGGAUGGGGAUUGAGAGAGAUGGAGGAGCUGAAGGUGAUACCCAAGAUUCCAAUUUAGAGGGUAGGGGGCACCUUAAAAGCAGCUAGGGAGCACAGGCAGAUGGGGAGGGGGAGGGGCAAGGGAGAUGAUUAUUUUGUAGAUGUUGAGUUUGAGGUUAUCUGUAAGGAAUUCAUGUGAAGAUGUUCUGUAGGGAGUUGUAAACAAGGAAGUUGGAGAGUAAGAGAAAUGUCUGGAUUUAAGAUUGUUGAUGGUCAUUCUUUCUCUUCUUGAACACUCCCUCUUUAGGAUGGUAAAAUGAACUUAAAGGAGAAAUAUAGUAAAAACAGCCAAAAAAUGAAGACAUCUUCUGUUUCUUUUCUCUUUCAGGCAACAGAUGAAAAUGAAGGAAUUCUGGGAAAGGAUGGUACAACGAACUUUAAAGAAAGAAUACGGAGUGAGGUGGAAGAAAGGCUACGUCAGAAAGAACAUAAUUUGCAACCGAGGAAAGGAAAAUGGCUCCUCAAUUGUUUCUGGGCAAGCGAGGACUCUACCAGGUACUGCUGAAAAACAAACAUAGCACUCUCCUCCCUUCUCUUCCCCACGUCCAGACUUACCCCCACCCCCCCAAAAAUCUCCAGGGUGUGAAAGCUGACACCGCGGUCAGUCCGCAGUGCUGCGGACGAGGCUUUAAGCAAUGGGACAACUGCUACAGCUGAUGGCAUUCUUCACUCAACACCGUGCAGGGUUCCAGUCCCUCUACCCCAGGGAGCGUAGGAGUGCAGCGCAGCGCGUCUCUGCUCUUCUUCGCUCACCAAUGACACCUGCAAAUGACUGAUGGAGGAAAGAAACAGAGGGCUCCCUAUUUUUUAGUGUUCCUACCACAUUCCUCUUUUAAACUUCAUUCUACCAUCCUAAAGAGGGAGACUGCUUUUUAUAAUUUAAAGGAUAACAUUUCUUCGGUGUCUUUUAGAAUUGGUUUCCCGGCUGCGACUUCAUGCUGCAUAUAAAACUAGACUAAAGGGUAUCUCAAAAAAUUUUUUAAAUUACAACAAAAUAUUAAAGCUGAAAAAGAUAAAGCUAUAUAAUACCUGGAGAUUAAAAAUCAAGAUAUAGCAUUAGGGACGCUAAACAACGCUUCAGCGCAAAUAGAACCAAGAAAAAAACCAAGAAAACUGCCUGCCCAAUUAGACAAAGCUCCUUUACCAAAGCGCACACAUUUAAAUCAAAUCUCCCCUACAACAAAACACGACUUAAAGUUUCAGUGUUCACUUUUUCCUAAGCACAAGUUGAAAUAAGUCAUCUAAAACCGAACAUUGCCAUGAAAGAGACCUCCAGGGCGCAAUAAAUAGGUACAUCUCUUCCAAGCGGAGAAAUGGCAUCAUGACCCCUUCCGUUGAUGUAGAUUGCAGUGCGAAGACGGUUCUCGAGAGAGAAAGCAGACAGCCCAGCGUAAAAUGCGUUAGCAGGGGAAAUCGACAAAAGACGGGAAAUUACUUUGAAAGCUUUGGAGGUUGUCUCCAUGGCCAACCAAAGUGACUUACGCAGAACUGACUUUUGCCCCCACCCCG
ensembl:lncRNA